UACGUAGGGGGCAAGCGUUGUCCGGAAUCAUUGGGCGUAAAGCGCGUGUAGGCGGUCCGGUAAGUCCGCUGUGAAAGUCGAGGGCUCAACCCUCGAAUGCCGGUGGAUACUGUCGGGCUUGAGUACGGGAGAGGCGAGUGGAAUUCCUGGUGUAGCGGUGAAAUGCGCAGAUAUCAGGAGGAACACCGGUGGCGAAGGCGGUGGUCUGGGCCGGCACUGACGCUGAGGAGCGAAAGCGUGGGGGAGCAAACAGG
rnacentral:rRNA from 1 species